rnacentral:rRNA from 1 species
CCUGACUGCUAUCGGAUUGAUACUAAGCCAUGCGAGUCAUUGUAGCAAUACAAGGCAUACGGCUCAGUAACGCGUAGUCAACCUAACCUAUGGACGGGAAUAACCUCGGGAAACUGAGAAUAAUGCCCGAUAGAACACUAUACCUGGAAUGGUUUGUGUUCCAAAUGAUUUAUCGCCAUAGGAUGGGACUGCGGCCUAUCAGUUUGUUGGUGAGGUAAUGGCCCACCAAGACUAUUACAGGUACGGGCUCUGAGAGGAGUAGCCCGGAGAUGGGUACUGAGACACGGACCCAGGCCCCAUGGGGCGCAGCAGGCGAGAAAACUUUGCAAUGUGCGAAAGCACGACAAGGUUAAUCCGAGUGAUUUGUGCUAAACGAAUCUUUUGUUAGUCCUAGAAACACUAACGAAUAAGGGGUGGGCAAGUUCUGGUGUCAGCCGCCGCGGUAAAACCAGCACCUCAAGUGGUCAGGAUGAUUAUUGGGCCUAAAGCAUCCGUAGCCGGCUCUGUAAGUUUUCGGUUAAAUCUGUACGCUUAACGUACAGGCUGCCGGGAAUACUGCAGAGCUAGGGAGUGGGAGAGGUAGACGGUACUCGGUAGGAAGUGGUAAAAUGCUUUGAUCUAUCGAUGACCACCUGUGGCGAGGGCGGUCCACCAGAACACGUCCGACGGUGAGGGAUGAAAGCUGGGGGAGCAAACCGGAUUAGAUACCCGGGUAGUCCCAGCUGUAAACUAUGCAAACUCAGUGAUGCAUUGGCUUGUGGUCAAUGCAGUGCUGCAGGGAAGCCGUUAAGUUUGCCGCCUGGGAAGUACGUACGCAAGUAUGAAACUUAAAGGAAUUGGCGGGGGAGCACCACAAGAGGUGAAGCCUGCGGUUC